GGACUACUGGGGUAUCUAAUCCCGGUCGCUCCCCUGGCUUUCGCGCCUGAGCGUCAAGGGCGGGCCAGCAGAUCGCUUUCGCCACUGGUGUUCCUUCCGGUAUCUACGCAUUUUACCGCUACACCGGAAAUUCCAUCUGCCUCUCCCGCCUUCAAGUCCCGAAGUUUCGAACGGCCUCUCCCAGUUGAGCCACGAGCUUUCACAUUCGACUUUCAGGACCGCCUGCGCGCGCUUUACGCCCAGUAAAUCCGGACAACGCUCGCAACCUACGUAUUACCGCGGCUGCUGGCAC
rnacentral:rRNA from 1 species